rnacentral:RNase_P_RNA from 1 species
GGAGUCGGCCAGGCAACCGCGGUCCUGAAUUCUGUCUAACACCCUUUGGGUCUAGAUGGUGCGGGAUGGAGGAAAGUCCGGGCUCCGAAGGGCAGGGUGCCAGAUAACAUCUGGACAGCGUGAGCUGAUGGAAAGUGCCACAGAAAAUAUACCGCCUCGGUUAUUUUUAAUUAAGGUAAGGGUGAAAAGGUGCGGUAAGAGCGCACCGCAAACCUGGUAACAGGUUUGGCAUGGUAAACCCCACUCGGAGCAAGACCAAAUAGGGACCCUAAGGCGCUGCCCGCGCUGGGUUCGGGUAGGUCGCUUGAGGCAUGUGGUGACGCAUGUCCCAGAUGAAUGGUUGCCCAAGACAAAACCCGGCUUAUCGGCCGACUUCAUAA